rnacentral:rRNA from 1 species
AUUGAACGCUGGCGGCAGGCCUAACACAUGCACGUCGAGCGAGCGGCGGACGGGUGAGUAAUGUCUGGGAAUCUGCCCGAUGGAGGGGGAUAACUACUGGAAACGGUCGCUAAUACCGCAUACUAUCGGAUGUGCCCAGAUGGGAUUAGCUAGUAGGUGGGGUAAAGGCUCACCUAGGCGACGAUCCCUAGCUGGUCUGAGAGGAUGACCAGCCACACUGGAACUGAGACACGGUCCAGACUCCUACGGGAGGCAGCAGUGGGGAAUAUUGCACAAUGGGCGCAAGCCUGAUGCAGCCAUGCCGCGUGUAUGAAGAAGGCCUUAGGGUUGUAAAGUACUUUCAGCGGGGAGGCGUUACCCGCAGAAGAAGCACCGGCUAACUCCGUGCCAGCAGCCGCGGUAAUAC